ensembl:lncRNA HLA-L major histocompatibility complex, class I, L (pseudogene)
UACGAUCCCGGCACUACAGUCCCGGCGCAACCACCCGCACUCAGAUUCUCCCCAAACGCCAAGGAUGGGGGUCAUGGCUCCCCGAACCCUCCUCCUGCUGCUCUUGGGGGCCCUGGCCCUGACCGAGACCUGGGCCGCGACUCCGUGAGUCCGAGGAUGGAGCGGCGGGCGCCGUGGGUGGAGCAGGAGGGGCUGGAGUAUUGGGACCAGGAGACACGGAACGCCAAGGGCCACGCGCAGAUUUACCGAGUGAACCUGCGGACCCUGCUCCGCUAUUACAACCAGAGCGAGGCCGGUAUGAACAGUUCGCCUACGAUGGCAAGGAUUACAUCGCCCUGAACGAGGACCUGCACUCCUGGACCGCCGCGAACACAGCGGCUCAGAUCUCCCAGCACAAGUGGGAAGCGGACAAAUACUCAGAGCAGGUCAGGGCCUACCUGAGGGCAAGUGCAUGGAGUGGCUCCGCAGACACCUGGAGAACGGGAAGGAGACGCUGCAGCACGCGGAUCCCCCAAAGGCACAUGUGACCCAGCACCCCAUCUCUGACCAUGAGGCCACCCUGAGGUGCUGGGCCCUGGGCCUCUACCCUGCGGAGAUCACACUGACCUGGCAGCAGGAUGGGGAGGACCAGACCCAGGACACGGAGCUUGUGGAGACCAGGCCUGCAGGGGACGGAACCUUCCAGAAGUGGGUGGCUGUAGUGGUGCCUUCCGGAGAGGAGCAGAGAUACAUGUGCCAUGUGCAGCAUGAGGGGCUGCCAGAGCCCCUCACCCUGAGAUGGGAGCCGUCUUCUCAGCCCACCAUCCCCAUCGUGGGCAUCGUUGCUGGCCUGUUUCUCCUUGGAGCUGUGGUCACUGGAGCUGUGGUUGCUGCUGCGAUGUGGAGGAAGAAAAGCUCAGGCAGCAAUUGUGCUCAGUACUCUGAUGCAUCUCAUGAUACUUGUAAAGUUAGCAUAAUGUGAGGAAAUGGGCUACUGGUCCACCACUGCCACCAGGACCACCACCCCACACUAACCUGUCCUCUCUUCCCCGGUCAAGUUUUUUUUCAACAGAGCCAGAUGGAAGAUUGAGAAGUGGCUCACAGCUCAGCAGAAUGAAAAAAUAUCUGAAUGCUGCUUUCUGAAACUACUCUCCAGAAUGAUUUCACACUCACUCCUUGGAGCAAACAAUGACUUGCAAAUUUUUCUAAUUUAAACAUAAAGGAGUGUACAUAUU